AGUUGCAUUACAGGGCAAGACCUCCAUUGGCAGGCAGCCACUAAAGCAUGCAUUUAAAUUAUGCGUUCUUUUAAGUGUGCCCUCUGCCAAAGGAGAUUUGUCCGGCAAAUCUUCU
rfam:Populus trichocarpa scaffold_11_contig_338, whole genome shotgun sequence.